rnacentral:rRNA from 1 species
AUUGAACGCUGGCGGCAGGCCUAACACAUGCAAGUCGCGCGCGUGGCGCACGGGUGAGUAAUGUAUGGGCAUCUGCCCGUUGGAUGGGGAUAACUACUGGAACCCGUCGCUAAUACCCCAUACCAUCAUCUUCACCCAUAUGGGAUUAGCUUGUGGGUGAGGUAACGGCUCACCUAGGCGACGAUCCCUAGCUGGUCCGAGAGGAUGAUCAGCCACACUGGAACUGAGACACGGCCCAGACUCCUACGGGAGGCAGCAGUGGGGAAUAUUGCACAAUGGGCGCAAGCCUGAGACAGCCAUGCCGCGUGUAUGAAGAAGUCCUUCGGGUUGUAAAGUACUUUCAGUCGGGAGGCGUGACCGGCAGAGGAAGCACCGGCUAACUCCGUGCCAGCAGCCGCGGUAAUAC